CCUACGGGGGACUGCAGUCGAGAAUCAUUCACAAUGGGGGAAACCCUGAUGGUGCGACGCCGCGUGGGGGAAUGAAGGUCUUCGGAUUGUAAACCCCUGUCAUGUGGGAGCAAAUUAAAAAGAUCGUACCACAAGAGGAAGAGACGGCUAACUCUGUGCCAGCAGCCGCGGUAAUACAGAGGUCUCAAGCGUUGUUCGGAAUCACUGGGCGUAAGGCGUGCGUAGGCUGUUUCGUAAGUCGUGUGUGAAAGGCGCGGGCUCAACCCGCGGACGGCACAUGAUACUGCGAGACUAGAGUAAUGGAGGGGGAACCGGAAUUCUCGGUGUAGCAGUGAAAUGCGUAGAUAUCGAGAGGAACACUCGUGGCGAAGGCGGGUUCCUGGACAUUAACUGACGCUGAGGCACGAAGGCCAGGGGAGCGAAAGGGAUUAGAUACCCUUGUAGUC
rnacentral:rRNA from 1 species